UGGAGAGACUAAGUCAGUGUGAGCUAGCAUCAAGACUCACUCUCAAUUGUUCUUCAGACUACGUACAACCUCAAAAAAUACAGGUUCACCUUCGAGCACACGAGGGCAGUCACUUAAGUGCUUCUGACUCUGGCACCCCUGUUGACCGAUAGCAGUGCCCAGAUAUUGCCUUAGUAAGACAGAUUUACAUUUGUAGUAGCAUUGUGUUAAUAUGUCUAUUAUAUCCUAUAAAUUGUAUUUGAUACAUACAUUUGCUAGUUAUGCCAACCUCAGAAAUUUAUUUUCUAUAUUAUGCUUUUAUACAUCUGUUGAAUUAUUAUUAUUGUAAUGGGAAUGCCAGGUAGGAAAGAUACCUAUGUUUUUUACCUUGUUUAUUAAGUUUUCCUUCUGUGGAUACCUUAGGGCUUUCAGGUGGGGGUUGUCUACAGUUUCAUUUCCAAAUAUUAUCUUUAGAGUUGGUAAACAGCAACCACCCAAGGAGGCACCCACCCAGGCAUAGCAGAGCAAAACUGAGGCCUGUUAAAUCUUUGCACUCUGCCAGGAUUGUUGGUCUUUUCCUUCUGCAAUAACCUGAACACAAAAGAUGACAAGUAAAUCUCUCAAACAUUUUACAUUCAAAAUAUAAUAUCAUACACUAUGAUGAGUUGGGUACAAUACUACUAAUUUGUAUUAGUAAUAAAGAAAAAGGAUUAUCUUUGUAUAAGAUUAAUACACUUGCAGAUGUACUUUAACUCAUGAUAUAUUGUUAUAAAUAAUAAUAUUCUCUUCAUAUCAGCUAUGUACAAAUGGCAGUAAAGUAAACAUCUGUUGAAGAUGAGUGAAUUAUGAAUGAUCUAUGUGCAGUAGAUUAUACACUUGAAAUGCUGUGUUGAAAGUUUCCAAUUUUCAAGAUAGCAAUCAUAAUUAUGUGAAAUAGUAUAAUGAAUUAUACAGUACUUACAAAUGGUUGGGAGGUAAAAUGCUGACAAAGAGGCUUACAUGUGAGAAAGCCUAUAUUCGACAACUGUUCACUUAAAAAUCUCAUGAUUGAGGGAAAUGUCUAAUAAAGGCUUGGCUCUGCUGUAAGUGUCUUAGUAUAAUUAUAAUGGUAUACUAUAGUGACAAGCAGAUAAGUAAGCUACAUGUCCGGCAAGUGGGUAUCUUUAUUGUCAAAAUGUUUCACCUAUACAGUAAGCUUUGUUAGUCGAAUACAAAGGAGACAGCAGAAGCAGUAGAGAGGCAAGACUGUGAUCAAUCCAUCAACCUUGAAGAUAUGUUUUUGAGGUGGUCAGUCCCUUAGCCUGGAGAAGUGUUCGGCUCCAUAGUGUUGAACAAUAGAACUGAACUAUGGAGCUGAACAUCUCCAAGCUGAGGGACUGGCUACCACAAAACUAAAAGUUUUGACAAUAAAGAUACCGAACUGUUGCACAUGUCUUACUCAUCCAAGUGUCUUAAUAAUGCAGUACAAGUGUCCCUUGCUCUAUGUGAUAGAUGCUUUCCAGGAUAUAUGGUGUUUAUAACAGCAGCUGUAGUAAUAAAAGUGCACUGCAUCUAUCCUCACUUUGUGUUGCAAACUGCACCUUAUCUAAGACUGAAUUUAUGACACACAGGUAAUUACUAGUAGAAAUCUAGUCAAUGCACAAGAGCAAAUUUACAUAAAGCAAACCAGCAUAAAGCCAGGGAUGACUGUACUUAUGAAUCCUGUACUGCUAACACAAACUGUAAUUUUGAAUUUGAGAGAGAUUUUGUACACUAGCCUAUUAUAACAGAUUCGUGUAUAAGUGAAAAUUUGUAUGUUUAUAUGAAGUAAAAUUUAAGAUUAAUUUUUA